GGCCGGAAAUAAGGCGGAACCGGAAGUGCGUGAGGCGGGGCGGUAGUCAAGAUGGCGGCUGUCAAGAUGGCGGAGGAAGCGGAUCCUGAAAGUGGAAACGUGAUCACCACCAUCACAUCACCAUCAGCCGUAGGGCUGAGGGAUAUGUCUCCAUGUGGGCACCUCCUGCUGCUGUUAUUGGAGCCCAGCGCCAGAGCUCAGGUACCAACCCAACAACCUGACACCAUGGAGUGACAGAGAUCUGCUUCCAGGGCCUCAGAGCCGGCACAUGAAGCACCAUUUUCUGUUACAUCUUGGAAACGAGUCCCCUGAAACAGCUGAUUGCUGCCAUGGAUGGAACCCUUCUGAGCGUGUUCUAAUGUUAAAAGCAGGAAGGGAUGAACAGAGUUGGUAAAGAUGCUCAGUUCCAUGCAGUGCAUUCUAACAGCCCACAUCAAUUAGCUAAUGAAUAUUUGCAUGCCAUUGGCAAAUGCUUCCCUGCAAUUGCUUCGCAUUAUUCAAAAACCCAGAGUUACAGCUCAGCUGCUCAAUAAUUCAGUGCCUAAAGGAAUGUCGAUACAUGCACAAACGGAUCCAGAGGAUGGCAAACAACCUCCACUUCUGUACCCAAGACACAAGCCUAAACUUACAAGGUAAAGGACACUUGGGACGACAAAGUUGCAAGCAAAAAAAACCCCUCAGGAUUAAGGCAAAAAAAAAAUAAAGAUGAAAAUAAAAAUAAACCCAUCCACAAAAGCGACCAAAUGAGAUAGAGAUACAAUGUUCCGCAGCUCUUUAAUCAUACCGUUUUCUUUAAUAAAGAGGUGGUUACGAUCUUACAGUGUUACCUUUUGGCCUAAUCCAAGGGUUCUGUUACUCUUUGACCGCUCUUAAUUCCACGCAUAGCAAAAAAAAAACCACCAAAAGAACCAAAAGUCGAUACCCGACCUUUCAAAUAUACGCCAUUAUUUUCUUAAUAAAAUAAGUUUUGUGCUGCUGCUCGUUUCGUUAAGUACUGUACAUCAACUGUUCACAUCUAUUGAACAAACGGACCGUACAGAGUUCAAGCUAAAGCAAAAAAGAAACCAACAACCCAAGGAGGGGGUUUGUAAACACCCCACUGACAGUUCAACACCUGCUGGAUAAAGGAGGUACGAAAGGGGGCUUAGAACUGAACACAAAAGCACUGGAGUCCCCAUGGAUUUUCUUUCACAACUAUCGAAGUGCAAAUCACUCAGGCAAGAUAUGGAUUUCAUGUGUUUAUUGCUGUCCUGCUGUCUGGCUUCCCUUCCUAAAAGAACGACAUUCUUUAUUCACACUCAUUUUCCAUGUAGAAAACCUUCCACGAGGCAACGCUGAAUGCGUUUGUGACACGACGCAUUGGCUCAGAGGCUUGCAAGUAAUGGGACACCCCGACUGCCCCCGUCACGUCCAGGUGUGAGACAAGGGAAACAAACAGCAUCCAAGAACCUACAGAUAAAUGGAGGUUAUUCCUCUUCCCACAAGGCUUGCAUGCACUUGGCGAUGUUUCCAGUUGCAGAAGGAACGCGUGCGCAUUGAAAAGGCAGAGAGACUCGGGAGCCAUUCGGGACGUCCAGGUGGGGUUUGUGGCUAACUACAAAUCCUGAUACGUCUCUGGCUUAACAGCUAUCUGCUACGGGUAGCAAAAUGCACAGCACCUCAACAUGCACUUAUUUGAUUGCAUCUUGGACAAGGAAACAGUAGAAAUAUCGAAUGCUGGAGCCGCGCAGAAGGUACAGUGCAUAGUCUGUUAUAGAAAACAUGCGGGUAACCCAAUCCCCUUCUAAAUAUCUUCCAAGUGGAAAUACAGGUUGGAGGGCACAGCAGCUAUUGAGUUUGGCUUUUUUAUUGAAUCAAAACCACGAAAACCCAAUGCAGAGGGUGAAAUAAGGGCAGAACGCGAUCUGCAAGUCACCAGCUGAGCGUUUCAGAAGCUGUGAAGCUUUUGUGUAGUUAAAAUUGCUGUUAAAAGUAGGUGCUACAUCAGCAAGUCUUCAUUCAUAGUUCUCUAUGAACAGCCACCUUACAAAUGAGUGCAAAUCUUAAAGGUCCAUUUUACAUUUCAAGUCUCAAGGUUAAAAAAAAAGAAAACGACGACAACGACAACAAAACAUUACAGAGCAACAAGCGGGUUUCUGUAAAUGCCCACACCGUCUCUUCUCCAAUGGUUAAAAAUGGCACGUGCUCUGCCACAGCUACUGCAAGACAUUGCAGAACUCCAGACCCAACUAAAACACUGACAGAAAAACUAGGAACCAAAAUACCUUCACCCCUCGCUGCCGCCAGCAGCCGGGUGCUUUCCUUUGUAAUGCUGGUGAACAAACCCACUUACAGAGAGAACCUUGACCUUAACCCUGGUUUGAUUCUUAACGAGGGGCUCUCUAAUACUUGGUGAGCAGGUACAGCCCCUCUGAGACCGUUUUGCUUUCAACGAACACAAGCCAGAGGUCUGAGGAUGAAAUGGAGAGGUGCUGGAUUUGUGUCACUAUGCAGGCACUUGUGUAUAGGAAUGUAGGCUUCUCGCAUUGACGCUUUAGUGUUGAUGCAUUCCCUGCUCUCUAAAAGCUUUCCUAAGACUUCACACCCUACUGACCAUGAAGAGCUCCUGGUCUCCUCCCCACCACCCUGCAGACAGACAGCAGCGGUGUUUGACACAAGGUGCAAAGGAGAAUGUGAACCAAAUACCGCAGUCCCGAGGAAAAAAGACAACUGUGCUAAAUGUAGGAUCUUCACCAAAGGUGACAUCAGCGGGCUCAGAGCUUAAGUUUGCAUAGCAUAUAGAUGUCUUCAUUGUUCACAAACACGUUGCCCAAAAAGAAAACAGGUAGAGUGAAUUCCCGGUAUUAGGACAGAUCAAUGGGCCAGCACAACUAGUGCGGAUUUCAUGAAGGCAAGGCGAGUUGAAACAUCAGAAAGUACAAAACAAAAAGGUGUGCUUGUAUCACUGACAAGGGGCAGUGCUGGUGACAGAUCUGCUCUGAAAACCAUGUCCGCUUUUGGCAGUAAAAUGAUAACAGUGCUCUUCUGCUAAGAGCUCGGUAGGAGCGCACACUGUUUCUCUCUUCAAGGAAGUGUUGUGCACACCCUUCAUAUAGAAAAUAAAUCCAAUCUGCCCACGUGAUAUUGGUAAUGAGUUGUUCCUACUGCCCUGCCGUGCAUAAUGGCCAUUCUGUGCGGCAAAAUGAGUCUGAAAAGCAGCCACCAUGUUACAAACAAACAAAAAAAAAAGGCUUUUUUUCCCCCUACCCCCCCUCCCCAUUAAAAACAGAUCGGGAGGAGCUUCCCCACCACCAUGAGAAGGAUUCGAUCAUUCGUACUAAGGAACGCCUCCGGUGUGCUUCCAGAACUAAACUGGGUGACCCAAAGAGCAGCACAGCAGUGGAGAGGCCCCGAGCUGCACGGCCACGUUGUGGAACGCACAGGAAACCUUGGGAGCCUCUGAUGAUGUAAACUCUGAGGAGGUGAAUGACUCGUGUGAUUUGGCAACAGACUCAGCAUCGUAUAAAAAUAACGCCCAGUAAAAAAACCCCGGUGUCCAUCAAUAGAAAUUCGGGGG